CGCCGACAUGUACUGUAUUGACUGUUUCUGGUAAUUAGUUCUACAUAUCGGUACAUUAAAUUGUACAGCUCUAUGUUGAUAGGAAUAGGAACGUUUCCGAAGAUUACACAAAUCCAAGAAUUCGACACGAUUAUUACGAACACUUAAGAAUACGUUAAUGUCAAUUUGUAACUUAAAAAAAACUGAAAUUGGCAUAAUGUUAUAGCAUCUAAACAGCUCUCUGGAAUGCUCAAGAGAACGCGGGCCAGUCAUAAUUUUUUCGAGGCUCUUGUUUGCAGGACAGAUAGUACAUUUAUGUUCCUGGCGGUGGUAGUACCCCACACCAUAAAACAAUAACUACAUCUAGAAACAAAGUGUGAGUUAUAUAUUCCCAACUUGACAUUUUUUGGCUGUAGAUAACGACGUCUACAUAACAUUCCAGUCGUCAUUCUCAUCUUGACGGACAGCGAAGCCAUUGGUUAGAUUGGUGCGCCAUGGCAGAAGCCUUGCGACACACACGAACCAACGGCACCCAGGAGGAGGAGCCUCAGAGAGCACCUCAUCAGCGCUCAGAGAGCAGACGGCCUUUGCCAGCGGGUGUCCCAGUGGCUUGCAGAACAAGACCCAGCGGACACCGGAAAUGCUGUAGAAGGGUACGACUCCUAUCUGCUGGGUGAGGAUGGCAUCCUGCUCAGGUACAUACCCCAGGCGGAGGACGAUGGCAGCUCCUCCCCGUUUAGAGUCGUGGUGCCACGGAAGUUGCGUCUACAGGCUUCACCCCGGCGUUCCUGAACUGGGGACGAGAGGCACCUUUUCCAGUGGAGAAUGCUCUGGGCCUCCGGGAUGGUGCUACCCGGCCUCCUUAUUCAAGGUUUGCUGAGGACCUCCGGAGUCGGCUGGACGAUGCAGCCCGGACUGCUCGGGAGAACAUGGACGUCGCAAGGUUGGAUCAGGCUCGCCAGUACAACGGUGGACGUCGGAACCUCACCUACAGCGUCGGUGACCUCGUCAUUCGACGGACUCACCCGCUAAGUGAUGCGUCACGAGGCUUUGCAGCUACACUCGCAGAUAGGUGGGAUGGCCCUUUUGAGGUAAGUGCGUGCCCCUCCGGCCUCACUUACAGGCCUCGUCGCUGCGACACCGGCGAAGAGUCUGGGCCAGUUCACAUCUCGGACCUGAAGACUUAUCACCUCCGGGACCCGGACGGAGACGAUACCGACCUUCCGCCUCCUCCCCUGCAGGACUCGGACCAGGGAGCCCCUCCCAGACCUGCAAGACGUCGCUACAACCUACGUCCCCGUAGACAGCGCACGUGACGCCACCUCAUCGGCCGCUAGUUUCUAGUGCUCUCGAUUUGGUUUGGCCUUUUCGCUAAUUAUCUGUCUGUCUUUCGUUUUCACGACUGUUUACGAUAAUUAGUGUUGUGCGAGGGCUGGACAGACCCUCUCGGCUGGGAGCUCCCCCCUGACCGUUCCAUUCUUUUACCAUUUUUUAGGAUGGCUCCACGUCACAACCAGACCGGCCGGAGCAGUAGCCGAGGGUGCUCCCGCCAGAGGACUCAGAGGCCCACCAACCCCCCAACCGAUGUUGGCGUCCUCGGCGAUGAGCGGAUCGGUGGAUCACCAACACCCCA